GGGCUAAUGUCUUGUAAUUGGAAUGAUGGUGACCCAAACCCUCACCAGAGUAGCAAUUGGAGGGCAAGUCUGGUGCCAGCAGCCGCGGUAAUUCCAGCUCCAAUAGCGUAUAUUAAACUUGUUGCAGUUAAAAAGCUCGUAGUUGAAUUUUAGCGUGUUCGAGUUUGCCAUUCGUUUGGCUUUUUCGAGUUCGCUUUUGGGUUUUCCCUUUUUACUUUGAGAAAAUUAGAGUGUUUCAAGCAGACUUUUGUCUUGAAUACUUCAGCAUGGAAUAAUAGAGUAGGACUUUGGUUCUAU
rnacentral:rRNA from 1 species